rnacentral:lncRNA from 1 species
UUUGUCUCAAAAUUCUAUCACAAUAGCUUUUUUUUUCUUGUAGUGAGCACAUUGCAUUAAAGUUAGUAUUUGACUAUUAUCCCUAAAUUAUUUUCAUUUCAUAAAUUGUCAUAUAUCCAGAUAAGUAUGUACAUAACCAGUUUGCGUGUCUUUUUAGUAGCCAAAUAUAAUUUUGUUAAACCAGAUAAGAAAUAAUACAUCCAAAUAUACUUUUUAAUCUGGAUUGACUUUGUAAUAUUCGGUUAAGACUUACUAAUACAUAUUAUCCACUCUUCAUAUAAUAUCUUAAUUCAAAUUCAUAAUUUAUAAUCCGAUAUUAAUAUGCAAUCACAUUACAUGUACAUAAACUAUUUUCUGGCUAUUAUCAUUAUAAUCAGGAUUAUUUAUAUAAUAUCAAGUUAUAAUACAUAUUUGUCAUUAUUCAAUUAGCUAACAUUUUACCAAGCUUCUCUUGUAAGCCAAGGAGGCAUUUUCAUUUGUUUCAUUAUUAUAUUAUUUUGCUUACACCUGUCAAUUUAUCUCCUAAUCUUAAACAUAGAAGGUUCCCA